ACACCUCAACUCUCCAUGGUUUUCCAUGAUGAGCUUGGACUUUGGGGGGUUUUGCUGGCCUAUGGGUCGGCUCCUCUAAAAUGAAUCAGCUUGCCAGUGUUUGGUGGGCAUCACGGGUGUGAUAACUGUCUACGCUCGUGGUUUUCCACCAGGGUAACCUUCAGCAGUGGAGGUUCGCUGGAGCUCACAGAUGUCUCUCCUCGGUGAGGACAGCCUUUGAAC
rnacentral:misc_RNA from 1 species